UGGGGAAUCUUGCACAAUGGGGGCAACCCUGAUGCAGCGACGCCGCGUGAGCGAUGAAGGUUUUCGAAUCGUAAAGCUCUGUCCUAUGGGAAGAUAAUGACGGUACCCUGUGAGGAAGCCCCGGCUAACUACGUGCCAGCGGCCGCGGUAAUACGUAGGGGGCUAGCGUUAUCCGGAUUUACUGGGCGUAAAGGGUGCGUAGGUGGUCCUUCAAGUCGGUGGUUAAAGGCUACGGCUCAACCGUAGUUAGCCUCCGAAACUGGAAGACUUGAGUGCAGGAGAGGAAAGUGGAAUUCCCAGUGUAGCGGUGAAAUGCGUAGAUAUUGGGAGGAACACCAGUAGCGAAGGCGGCUUUCUGGACUGCAACUGACACUGAGGCACGAAAGCGUGGGUAGCAAACAGG
rnacentral:rRNA from 1 species